rnacentral:lncRNA from 1 species
GGCAACUGAAGCAGUUUUCUGUGGACUGAGUGCCUGACUUUCUCAUUGUCUUUUGUUCAUACUGGCUUUUUCCUCUUCCUAAAAUAACUUGAUCCUGCGAACGAACCAUUCAGCAGCCUGGAACUUGAAACUCAAGCUGAAAAAAGGGCAGAGAGACUAGAAGUGGAUCCAUUCCAAUUCAGUCACUGACUUCCCUUCAGAGACUGCCUUCAAAUUGGUUCAAGUUACAGUAACAGUUUUCAUGGUAGAAACACAGUUUUGGUGAGAACUGGACUGAAUCUUCCAAGUGUCUGUGACUGUAUAAGGACUGUAUAAAGAUGUUUUUUCCACCUGUGAUGACUGCUCUUGAUUCUUUGUUGCCCCUCUCUGAGUUUUGGUUCUGAGGUGAGGUGAGCACUUGCAUUGACUUGGCAAAAACUAACCCUUAAGGGUCAUCUUCUUAAAAGAUGGAGUUUGGCAUUGCCGAAUUAUACCAGUUCAAGGAACAGAGCAAAAAGUCUAGAGUUAAAUCACUGACUUGUGUUCAUUUGAUACAAUUCGGUUUUGAAUGUUCCCAUUAGAGAAGAAAAAGAAUAAAACAGCAGGAGAUCUUGUCUCUGAGGAAAGCCAAGUUUAAUAGUGCAUUCUCUGCUUCAUUGCUUAUUCCCAAGUUAUUAAGUUUUGCAAUCUUCUUGUGCUCGAGAGUUGAGAAAAGAAAAUGAUUUUUUAUAAAUUUGCCUAAUGUCAUGUAUUGACGGAGAUUUCAAAGCCACUAAAAAUUACUAAGUUGAAAGUUUGUGAUGAUAGUGCAUCUCUACAGCUUUCCCUUUGCUUAUGUAGAUUGCUUGCAUUUCACUUCUAUGCCUAAACAUGACUUGCAUCAACUUCCAAUUCUUCGUACCCUAGUGCUGCCUAACAGCAGCAAACAGGUUCAGUGCUUCCCAGAAAGCAUGAUAACAUACAUCGUCUUCCUAAAAAACAGAAUUCACAGGUUAUAUUGCUAAGUGACAUUUUCUGUAGAUGUUUGUACUGUUGAACAAUUUAUUUCCUUUCUCCAUAACAGAUUGUAAAACGGGUGAAAAGCAUCUCAUGUCCCGACAUGCAAAAGGGCUUUCAAAUAGCCUCUCCACCAGGGACAGGAAUGUCUUCUGUUGUGGUGAAUUGCUAGGCGAUAGCUCUUGCCAUGUAAUGCUGAACAGGAUGCAGCAGGAAAGUCACAUGCACACAAAGUCACCAGCAGCUCAGUCUUGA